rnacentral:rRNA from 1 species
GACGAACGCUGGCGGCGUGCUUAACACAUGCAAGUCGAACGGAAAGGCCCUGCUUUUGUGGGGUGCUCGAGUGGCGAACGGGUGAGUAACACGUGAGUAACCUGCCCUUGACUUUGGGAUAACUUCAGGAAACUGGGGCUAAUACCGGAUAGGAGCUCCUGCUGCAUGGUGGGGGUUGGAAAGUUUCGGCGGUUGGGGAUGGACUCGCGGCUUAUCAGCUUGUUGGUGGGGUAGUGGCUUACCAAGGCUUUGACGGGUAGCCGGCCUGAGAGGGUGACCGGCCACAUUGGGACUGAGAUACGGCCCAGACUCCUACGGGAGGCAGCAGUGGGGAAUAUUGCACAAUGGGCGGAAGCCUGAUGCAGCAACGCCGCGUGCGGGAUGACGGCCUUCGGGUUGUAAACCGCUUUCGCCUGUGACGAAGCGUGAGUGACGGUAAUGGGUAAAGAAGCACCGGCUAACUACGUGCCAGCAGCCGCGGUGAUACGUAGGGUGCGAGCGUUGUCCGGAUUUAUUGGGCGUAAAGGGCUCGUAGGUGGUUGAUCGCGUCGGAAGUGUAAUCUUGGGGCUUAACCCUGAGCGUGCUUUCGAUACGGGUUGACUUGAGGAAGGUAGGGGAGAAUGGAAUUCCUGGUGGAGCGGUGGAAUGCGCAGAUAUCAGGAGGAACACCAGUGGCGAAGGCGGUUCUCUGGGCCUUUCCUGACGCUGAGGAGCGAAAGCGUGGGGAGCGAACAGGCUUAGAUACCCUGGUAGUCCACGCUGUAAACGGUGGGUACUAGGUGUGGGGUCCAUUCCACGGGUUCCGUGCCGUAGCUAACGCUUUAAGUACCCCGCCUGGGGAGUACGGCCGCAAGGCUAAAACUCAAAGGAAUUGACGGGGCCCCGCACAAGCGGCGGAGCAUGCGGAUUAAUUCGAUGCAACGCGUAGAACCUUACCUGGGUUUGACAUGGAUCGGGAGUGCUCAGAGAUGGGUGUGCCUCUUUUGGGGUCGGUUCACAGGUGGUGCAUGGCUGUCGUCAGCUCGUGUCGUGAGAUGUUGGGUUAAGUCCCGCAACGAGCGCAACCCUUGUUCACUGUUGCCAGCACGUUAUGGUGGGGACUCAGUGGAGACCACCGGGGUCAACUCGGAGGAAGGUGGGGAUGACGUCAAGUCAUCAUGCCCCUUAUGUCCAGGGCUUCACGCAUGCUACAAUGGCUGGUACAGAGAGUGGCGAGCCUGUGAGGGUGAGCGAAUCUCGGAAAGCCGGUCUCAGUUCGGAUUGGGGUCUGCAACUCGACCUCAUGAAGUCGGAGUCGCUAGUAAUCGCAGAUCAGCAACGCUGCGGUGAAUACGUUCCCGGG